UGGCGAGCGUUAUCCGGAAUUAUUGGGCGUAUAGGGUGCGUAGGCGGCCUAUUAAGUUUGUGGUGAAAGCGUGGGGCUUAACCCCAUACAGCCAUAGAUACUGGUAGGCUAGAGUACAGGAGAGGGCAAUGGAAUUCCAUGUGUAGCGGUAAAAUGCGUAGAUAUAGGGAGGAACACCAGUGGCGAAGGCGGUUGCCUGGACUGAUACUGACGCUCAAGCACGAAAGCGUGGGGAGC
rnacentral:rRNA from 1 species